UACGUAGGGUGCAAGCGUUAAUCGGAAUUACUGGGCGUAAAGCGUGCGCAGGCGGUUUUGUAAGUCUGUCGUGAAAGCCCCGGGCUCAACCUGGGAAUUGCGAUGGAGACUGCAAGGCUUGAAUCUGGCAGAGGGGGGUAGAAUUCCACGUGUAGCAGUGAAAUGCGUAGAGAUGUGGAGGAACACCGAUGGCGAAGGCAGCCCCCUGGGUCAAGAUUGACGCUCAUGCAGGAAAGCGUGGGGAGCAAACAGG
rnacentral:rRNA from 1 species